rnacentral:ncRNA from 2 species
GGCGGGCAAGAUCGCGCCGGUGCCUCGAAAGAGGCUUAAUAGGGAACGCGGUGAGAGGGCUUCGGCCUUCGAAUCCGAGGCUGUCCCUGCAACUGUAAGCGGUGAGCGCGAUGCAUAUCGCGGCAGGCCAAGGAGCCUGGCCGCAGCCACUGGGCCGGACGCUAAAUCCUGCGAGGCCUGGGAAGGCCGUGCAUCAAGCGAUGACCCGCAAGCCAGGAGACCUGCCGGCGUCUGGUCGCUCUC